rnacentral:rRNA from 1 species
ACGAACGCUGGCGGCGUGCUUAACACAUGCCAGUCGAACGGAAAGGCCCUGCUUGCAGGGUACUCGAGUGGCGAACGGGUGAGUAACACGUGGGUGAUCUGCCCUGCACUUCGGGAUAAGCCUGGGAAACUGGGUCUAAUACCGGAUAGGAGCCAUUUUUAGUGUGAUGGUUGGAAAGUUUUUUCGGUGUAGGAUGAGCUCGCGGCCUAUCAGCUUGUUGGUGGGGUAAUGGCCUACCAAGGCGGCGACGGGUAGCCGGCCUGAGAGGGUGGACGGCCACAUUGGGACUGAGAUACGGCCCAGACUCCUACGGGAGGCAGCAGUGGGGAAUAUUGCACAAUGGGCGCAAGCCUGAUGCAGCGACGCCGCGUGGGGGAUGACGGCCUUCGGGUUGUAAACUCCUUUCGCUAGGGACGAAGCUUUUUGUGACGGUACCUAGAGAAGAAGCACCGGCUAACUACGUG